rnacentral:tRNA from 1 species
GCGGGAAUAGCUCAAUGGCUAGAGCGACAGCCUUCCAAGCUGUAGGUUGCGGGUUCGAGUCCCGUUUCCCGCUCCA